rnacentral:ncRNA from 1 species
AAAGGUAGAGGUUGCGCGACUUAAGAGUAUUCCGCCGGAUGCCGCAGGGGCGUGUGAGGACGGAAGAAAGGGAGGAGCGCCGAAGGAUGCCGCCGCCUGCAGACGGGGUCCUGGGCAUACGGCGAAGAGCCGUGUGACUGUCAUCCGGACGGAUGGAGAGCUACUGGA